CCGCGCCGUGCUGGAGGACUUCAACCGGCGUGUGAUCGAGGCGCGCCGGCAGCUGCUCGGCGGCCCGCCCGUGGUGACGAAGCCGCGGGACGUGGAC
rnacentral:tRNA from 1 species